rnacentral:rRNA from 1 species
UACGGAGGGUGCAAGCGUUAAUCGGAAUUACUGGGCGUAAAGCGCACGUAGGCGGAUUGCUAAGUCAGGGGUGAAAUCCUGGAGCUCAACUCCAGAACUGCCUUUGAUACUGGCGAUCUUGAGUCCGGGAGAGGUGAGUGGAACUGCGAGUGUAGAGGUGAAAUUCGUAGAUAUUCGCAAGAACACCAGUGGCGAAGGCGGCUCACUGGCCCGGUACUGACGCUGAGGUGCGAAAGCGUGGGGAGCAAACAGG